AACAAUACCUCUUUGCCUUCAGUUUGCCUCAAUUGGCUUAAUCUUAUCCAGAAGUUAAAACACUGGCCUCUACAAAUGAAGAUAAAGCAGGAAUCAUUUGUGGGAGCCAGUCUCUGAAUAGCAUUGUUCCAAAAAGGAGAACAUGACUGACUGAAUCCCCUGUGCAUGGGAGGGCAGGUGAUGCUCAGUUCUGCCCCAGCUCCCCGUGUUUUCUCAGUGGAGUAAUGCAGGCUAACUCUCCACGCUCUCAACAGCUCCAUUUUCAAAGAGCUUAGUUACAGGAAGCAAGGCAGGGAUUUUUGCUUCUGCAUGGGAUCAGACUCACAGGAAGGGAAUAGGUACCAACAAUAUACAAACCUGGAAGUUUUGCCAUUGCCGGGACCUUUGUUUUCUUCGUUCUGAAGGGGAGGAACAACUACACAAGAGAUCUUCACUUGCAUUUAGCAGGCUGAAAUGUGGGACUUACAUUAUGGAAACACCACCAUGAGGGAAUAAAUAGGCAGAAACUGCCUGAACAAAACAGAAAGAAACAAAACCAAAAAUGCUAAUUUGCAGAUUAACUGAGAGUAAUA